GCCAGUUUUCAUAAAUGUUGUGACAAACAAACGUAUGCUAAGACAGCCUCAAAAUCUAAAAUGCCGUGAGUAUUGAUCAAUGUAUCUUUUGUAUCUUUCGUAUCGAUUACUAAAUUGAAGCGUAUGGUAACUAAUAAGACUUCUGACAUACUAAUGUUUUACAGAACAAUGUCUGUGUGGCUUCCCUGUCACAGACUUACAGCAGUAUAUAAUAACUUAAAAUUGAAGUGAAAAAAGCGAGAGUUACCUUGUCUCUCGUGUAUUAACAUGAUAAUACGUAGAGACACAAAAUGGGGCAUGUAACGACACUUUAGUAUUGUAAUUUUAUGAUACAUUACGUCGUUUUAUGGGCUAAUUCUAUUUUCAGUGGAAUACUAUUAGUACACUGAAGAUUCAAAUAACCAAGAAUGGCUUAGUUGUCUUAGAUAACUUCCUAUUAAAUAAAGCAAUUCAUUGACACUUGAGCUCUGCGCAUGGACAAUGCCCGUCAUGUCAGUAAAUAAACGGUCCUUAUACCAGGUGUGCUGACAAUGUAAUCAAUUUACGGAUCACAUACUGCUUUCUUAUUUCUGUGUAAAAGAAGGAAGUGUGACCAUUAGGCUAUCUGUUUGUCUUCUCUCUGUCCUGAACAGCUUCCUGCUUCCAAAAUAACAGUACAUGCAAGAAAUCACCAGUUCUCAAGUAGGUGUGUUGACAAUUGUCAUUGCAGAUCUCUGAAGAGAUGUCAGUGAGUGCACCAUGUAACAAAAUAUGUCCCAAACCUGCAGAAGCAUGAGCUACACAUGGAAGCAGGACAAAUGAAUUUAGGACAUAUCAGUGUUGGGGUAAAAUUGUCCUUGAAUUUGCCAAGAAUGGCACUGACAUACUAGUCAUUGUCAGAGCUACGUCUCAUGCCCAAAAAGUCUAUUCCGUCAAUCCUGAUUGUUUAAAAUGAACACCUGUGUACCUUAACUAAUUGCACACACGCUCAAGCACGUUACAAGUGGUUCAGUGUGCUUUGUUUUCUCCAAGACAACUUGUGAAGACCAGUCUCAACAAGUCUGGGGCAGCUGUGGUCUAAAGGUUAAAGAAAUGGGCUUGUGACUUUAAAAGUCAGUGGUUCAUUCCCUUGGACAUGGAGUUUAUAAUUUGGGCGGCGAAUUACUGAACUUCUGAAGACCCACCGCUAGGAACAGUAUCUGUGUGACUGUGUUAGGCAGGCAUUGCUGAAAAAGUGUGCUUGUUCACAAUGACCUUUUUUCUUCGUAAAUUACGAUUUUAACAAACUACUGGCUUAGCAUUUAUAGAUUCAAUACUCCUAUAGUUUUCCUCUCAUGAACCACUAUUAAGAUGACUGCAAAAUUGUACUGCCAGCUACCAGAUGAAUUACCUCAAUGUACAAGCUCCAUUCUUUGUCCAGCCUUGGAAAUGACUCAUGUCUGUGAAUAUUCUGCAACUGCAUUUGAGAUUAUAGAGCUGGGAUUGUUGUCCUUCCUGAAAAGGACAUUCUUUAGGACUAUUUGGACUAUGACUUUUAAUUUAAGUCAUACUGCGUAUUGUGUGUGUGUAUUGUAAUCGUUGUGUGCUAAUUAAUACUGUCCCCUUGUCAGUCCGCAAAUCAACAGUAACUUGCAUAUAUGCCAGUGUACUCUAGAUUGUGUUAUUAAGGAUGUGUUGCUUAAUCAAAUCAAAGUCACAACACAUGAACAAGAAAUCCCACAAAGUUGUAAAAGUGAGUUCUUUAGUCACAGCCUUGGAAUUUUCCAUAUUUUAGACAAUUAUUUACAUCAAUCAGCUACAUUGUAGGCUGCAAAUUAUUAUUUUUUCACCCCUAGCUGUCAAUACGUAGAGAGCCAAAGUAGAGCACAGAGUUAAAGGGUUACAGAGAACUCCCUUUUUAUGAGUUGCUAUAUUUCAAUUGCCACACUUUCCUGAUGGUCAUAAUGACAUAUCAGAAUUUAAUGACAGGAGACACGGAAUGACAGAGAUCCAUCACUGGCCAAAUUAUCAGUGAUUUACAUAGCACUAAAAAUAGUUGUAUAAGAGUCACUUAACACAAGAACCAUUUCCUUAGUCAAGACAGACAUUUGGUGUCUGGCCCAUCCAUCAAGAUAAGCAUUAGUUUUUAAUUUUAUAGUGUUGUCACUAAUACGUUACAUGAGCUCGGUUUACAGUACAUUCAUAACACUCACUUGGUUGUGUCAUAUUUGGGUCAUUUGGGGCAGUGUUUUUUUAAUUUACUGUGAAUUUCAAAAUAACUGCAAAUUUUUUGGAGGGAAAGUGGAACCCCAAACGGCCAGACUAAAAACAGAUACACUUUCAAACCAAGUACAAUAAAGCACAACAAAAAUGGAGAUGAACAAUUAAAUGAAUAAAUAAAUAAGAGAUUAAAUAAAUAACUAGUUUACAACAGGGUAUUUUAGAUAAUAAAUCCUUUAGUUAGAGACAGUUGUUCAGAUCAUAGACAGUUACCAUUUUGAAAUAAAAAUAGCACAAAUUUGGGAUAGACGGUCUUGGAUUGUGUCUUAGAUAUAUCAUUCUUUUGCCUUUCCAUGUCACUUUCAGUCUCUUCUUUAGGCUCAUUCAGGCUCCACCAGUUACCUACUUUUAUCCCACUAGUUACGGAUUAAUAUAUAAUAGCCAAUAUAUACAAAUAGUCAAUAUUAGUAGUUAUGUGUAGUCCUUUAAGAUAUAUCUUUUAGGUUUGAAUAUUACAGCCAAUCAUUUAUUCAGUAAAGCACAAUGUCAGAAUUAUAAUAUGAAGACUUCUGAACAUGUCAUUGGGCCAUUGUCACCCCCACUCUCUUUUGCUUUGACCAGAUUGGACUUGUGAUCUAAACUGGAACAAUCAGUGGAUGCAUUCAUCAAGGCCAGGAAAGAGCUAGAGGAAAUACUUGUGAGAAAGACUUUGGUCUUAAAUCUUUACAAUAGGCGGAAAUGUCUCUGUCUCCAUUAUAUCUUGAGAUUGAGAGAUGAUGGUUUUUAUUACAUACUGAAUUGUCACUUCUGACAUGGCUUUUCCUUUCAGACUAUGGCUGGGAUUAUUUUUUACUUUGUUCAUUCAUUUCCAAUACAGUGAGCUAUCUUUUUCCUUUUCCCAAUAUUUCCUGUGUAUUGCUAGGAUUUUUGUGGUUUUCCUUUUAUCUCCUUGAUCCUGUAUUUUAAUUAGUCAGCAGAGGGCAGCAGUGAACAAGGACGUUUCCUCACUGGGUCUUCUACUGACCCGAAGACUGAGCUAAAGAGACACAGAGAGCCGAGAAUUGUGAAGACGGGUAGCUCCUAUGAGUUUCUGAAGUCCAUUAUGUGCUGAGGUUUUUGUUAGCGAGGCAUCUCAGCUGUUGACAGCUAAUGGAAUUACUCUUCACCUCUUGUGCGUAUGAUCCCGCGGAGAUAAGGCAGGAGAUGAAUUCUGUCAGUUGUGAAGCUGAGAUGUCUUGGAAGCUGUCAUUCAUUUGCAGGAAAAGUGUCUGAAACGGUGGGAGCGAAUCCUCCGACAUGUUAGAACCUGUCUACCCGCCGGAGCCUCUCCCUAUCAGCUGACAAAUGUUGAUUCUACAUUAACCACAAUGCUGCAACGCUGUGCAAAUAAUGUUCUUUUAGAUGGCAACCCUCAUUCCCUUUAUGGCUAAAACUAUGCAAUCCUUCCCACCUGUGCAGUUUAACACCUUUGAAAAGUAAAGGUGGGGUGGAGGAGGCAAACUGUCUUACACAACACAGUAGUCUCUUUAUUUGGCAGUGCCUGGGAAGGCCGAGGCCUCUCACUGCCCGAGUCGACCUAAGCAACAGCUGGUGUUCACAGCAACGUUUCCUAUUUCUGCCUAAGGUGGAUCGUGUAACUCUCACUUUAUCACCCUUAGAGGCCACGUGAAGGACAAUGCUAGCAAGCCCAUAAACAAAACUAAUGUUUUGAGCCCCUUUGGAGAUUGAUAGAAGAAUCUGUGGUGCUUUUAAUGCCCCCUUACCACCACUGAUACAUCACAAAUAAUCUCUUACCUGUACCAAUGGUUUUCGCUAUAGGUUGGGAUCUUAAACUGUUAGCUCUUCUUCUGACUUCUAGUAAUAAUGUGUGUUAGUAAUCUGGGGUUCCCUAGGGAGAUUUUCUUCACCUCCCAUUAACACAAAGUUUUAGCUAUGAGGGUACAGCAUCUACUUACUGUGCCUGCCUCUAGUGUAAGGUUUGGAGCCACAGAAACUGGGGAUAUGCAUCCUGGAUAACUGAUCAGAGACUAGGUGGUGACAGGAGCCUUAUUUUCACUGUGGCUUGAAAAUGAAAAAGGCUUACUCUCUGGUGUGUAAUUAUUUAACUUUAUUUAAACACAAGAAGCACAUGAACUGGAUACUUUAUCAGACUGAAAUUGUUGAAUGUGACAAUGUGUGUUGAGUUUCCAGUUGCAAACCUAAUCUGUCCCAAAACAGUUACAGCAGAGCAGUGUAAACACAGCCAGACAAGGCAGUCUGUGUUAUAUUUUGUAGCUUUAUUAUUGCUGUUAUGUGACUGGGAAUGUGAUGUCACAUAGUGCAGUGCAUUACUUUUAUCUGGUUUAUAUAUAGUUUUUUUUCUAAAUAAUUGUACAAUAUAUUUCAUUUUUAAACUGCAACUAAUCAACUUUACAAUUAAUCAAUUACGCUUUUAGUCUAUGUCAAAAUCCUCACGUUUGAAAAGCUUGAACCAAAGAAUUUUUGAUUGAUAAAUUACUUAAACGAUUAUAAAAAUUGUUGAUUCAUUUUCUGCAGCUUUUGAUCCUAUCACACAAUCUUCCUCAGCAGAUUGAGUUGCACAGUUGUCAUGGAAAUGUCAUUUUCUUGUAAUUGAUAAUUCAACUAAUCUUUUUUAGCACUAUUUCAUUUUAUUAAAGUAGAAUGAUUGUUUUAAAUGUGUGUAUCUUUUUAUAUUUUACUCCAGCUGUAUUGUGUAUGUAGUUGUUUAUCUAUAUUAUACUACUAAUUUACUAAUAUUAUUAAUUUACCUUCCCAUUGUGGGAAGGCAAAUUCUCAUUAUUCCUCACAUCUGUCUAAAUGAAUUGACAUGACUUUAUAUAAACAUGUGUAGUAAAAGGGCAAACCAGCGCCUUUCACACCACCUCUAAUUGGCCCCUUGUGUUCAUGUUCCAUUGUAGAAACAGUUAACUCAGAUCUUGGGCUCCCAUUAUUGGCUACCAGCCUGGAGCCUCAGAUGCACUGGCAACCCUCACUGACCUGAUAACAUUUAUAGUUGUAAUGGAUUUUUUUAUGCCUGUCAUUAACUUGCUCAGAGAUUGGAGAAAGAAAUUGCUUGUACCUUUUUCUGUGGUAUUUCAACUUUAUAGCAUUAUGUUCAGAUAUGUCACCUUCCAUCACCUCUUUUUAAGGCCUGUCCUGUCACUGGUUUUGUUUUAAAUGAACAGGUCUUUUGUGCAGGACCCUUGUAGUAUCUAGGACUUGUAAUGAAUAUUUAAUGGUGUUGAGUAACAGCUUUGAAAGAUAUAAUUUCUGU